rnacentral:rRNA from 1 species
UACGUAGGGUGCAAGCGUUGUCCGGAAUUAUUGGGCGUAAAGAGCUCGUAGGCGGUCUGUCGCGUCGGUCGUGAAAACUUGGGGCUUAACCCUGAGCUUGCGGUCGAUACGGGCAUGACUGGAGUUCGGCAGGGGAGACUGGAAUUCCUGGUGUAGCGGUGAAAUGCGCAGAUAUCAGGAGGAACACCGAUGGCGAAGGCAGGUCUCUGGGCAUUAACUGACGCUGAGGAGCGAAAGCAUGGGGAGCGAACAGG